UACGUAGGGUCCGAGCGUUGUCCGGAAUUAUUGGGCGUAAAGAGCUCGUAGGCGGUCUGUCACGUCGGCUGUGAAAACCCGAGGCUCAACCUCGGGCCUGCAGUCGAUACGGGCAAACUAGAGUGUUGCAGGGGAGACUGGAAUUCCUGGUGUAGCAGUGAAAUGCGUAGAGAUCAUGAGGAAGACCAGUGGCGAAGGCGGGUCUCUGGACAGUUCCUGACACUGAGGCACGAAGGCCAGGGGAGCAAACGGG
rnacentral:rRNA from 1 species